ACCUGUUCCCAUACCGAACACAGAAGUAAAGUCCUCCAGCGUCGAUGGUACUUGGCGGGCAGCUGCCUGGGAGAGUAGAACGUUGCUGGUU
rnacentral:rRNA from 1 species